GUGGGUAUCCGCACGAGCGCACCCUUAUCCUUAGUUGCCAGCACGUAAUGGUGGGAACUCUAAGGAGACUGCCGGUGACAAACCGGAGGAAGGUGGGGACGACGUCAAGUCAUCAUGGCCCUUACGAGAUGGGCUACACACGUGCUACAAUGGCAAGUACAAAGGGUUGCAAACUCGCGAGAGUAAGCGGAUCCCAUAAAGCUUGUCGUAGUCCGGAUUGGAGUCUGCAACUCGACUCCAUGAAGUCGGAAUCGCUAGUAAUCGUGGAUCAGAAUGCCACGGUGAAUACGUUCCCGGGCCUUGUACACACCGCCCGUCACACCAUGGGAGUGGGCUGCAAAAGAAGUGGAUAGCUUAACCUUCGGGAGGGCGUUCACCACUUUGUGGUUCAUGACUGGGGUGAAGUCGUAACAAGGUAGCCGUAGGGGAACCUGCGGCUGGAUCACCUCCUU
rnacentral:rRNA from 1 species